rnacentral:misc_RNA from 1 species
CCGAGUUUGCAACUCCCACAACCCCUGUGAACAUACCACUUGUUGCCUCGGCGGAUCAGCCCGCUCCCGGUAAAACGGGACGGCCCGCCAGAGGGACCCCUAAACUCUGUUUUCUAUAUGUAACUUCUGAGUAAAACCAUAAAUAAAUCA